GCUGGUUGCCGAGUCCGGGUGGUUGCAGAUCCUGGAGCAGUCUGCGGAGGCGGUCCACUUUCCUCUAGAUGCAUUCCCGCAGGAGGAGCCAGGGUUACGUAAUAAUAACGAGAAAGCUCACCCGCGCUCACUGCGUGCCACCAACACGGGGCACCCUCGUACCCGAGGUGUCUAAUUUUUUGUUCUCUGGGUGGCCACCUGACCACCUUUCCGCCUCCGCAGGACUGGGAACUUGUUACCUCCUGCGACUUGAGUUGGAAGUUUCAUAGUUUUCGAUCGUGAAAGGGUUGGGUGUUUCUUAUCAUUCUUAGAAACGCUUCUUGCUUCUGCGCAGCCACUGAGGCUCGAGGCGCGCUCCAGGGCGGAUCCAUCAGUAACUCAACGCCCUGGCCAAGGAAGGCAGUGCUCCUGGAGUUAUCAUGGACGUCAAUACUGCUCUGCAAGAGGUGCUGAAGACCGCCCUGGUCCACGAUGGCUUAGCACGAGGAAUUCACGAAGCUGCCAAAGCGUUAGGCAAGCGCCAAACCCAUCUCUGUGUGCUUGCAUCCAAUUGUGAUAAACCUAUGUACAUCAAGUUGGUGGAAACCCUUUGUGCUGAGCACCAAAUCAACCUAAUUAAGGUUGAUGACAACAAGAAACUGGGGGAAUGGGUAGGCCUCUGCAAAACUGAUCGAAAGAGGAAACCUCGGAAAGUGAUAGGUUGCAGCUGUGUGGUGGUUAAGGACUAUGGCCAAGAAUCUCAGGCUAAAGAUGUCAUUGAAGAGUACUUCAAAUGCAAGAAAUGAACAACAAAAUUGGCUUAUUUUCUUUUAAGUUCCUAAAAACAGAAAAGUACAAUUAUCUCAAAAAUUCGUGAGUUUUCGCCGGAAAUAAUAGCACUUUUUAGGAGGUUUUCUUCCAAAUGUAAACUUUGCAUUAUUUUGUUCUUGUUUAUAAUGAAAA